CUGCAGCUGCUGUUAGCUACAUGUGUUCCCCAAUGCUUGUCUCCUCUGCCUGCUUCAGGACUUUUCAAUCACUGGCAGUAGCAACAUCCAACCUCGGUCAGAUGAUGUCACUGGAACCGGGAAGAAUUAGUGACAGAUGCGUCAGCUGAGGGGGACUGAGGCCAGGAAGAAGCUUCAGUCCGAAGCGAUACGGUCGUUGCACUCCACAGCCCUGCGUUCCUGCUGACAGACCCCCCUGAACCUGCUGUUAUUUUAAGCUGCAAGCGCUGAAUAAAGAAGAAUAUUUUGCUACCUGGAAAUCCACGCUAGGGGUCCCCAUAAAAUCCAAAACAUAAUACUGUCCGGCUGAGACACAGGCAUGGGCAAAGUCCAGGAAGUAAGGGCAGGAUUAGCACUCCACAUGCAUGCUCACUCCUGUCCUAUCAGACUGCAACAUGAAAACAGAGAGGAGGGGUUACAGAGCAGCCUGAAGUGAUUGGAUGAAAAGACCCAACACAGUACAGCAGACUCAGGGAGGAAGAUGAGUCAUGCAGAGUGAGGACAUGCCCCCCUCCAAAGCACAGAAUGACAAACCAAGUGAGCAACAGAUAGAAGGUAUU